UACAGAGGUCCCAAGCGUUGUUCGGAAUUACUGGGCGUAAAGGGCGCGUAGGCGGCACAGCAAGUCGGGAGUGAAAGCCCGGGGCUCAACCUGGGCACUGCAGUUGAAACUGGCAAGCUAGAGUAGGGUAGAGGGGUGUGGAAUUCCAGGUGUAGCGGUGAAAUGCGUAGAUAUCUGGAGGAACAUCAGUGGCGAAGGCGACACCCUGGACUCAUACUGACACUGAGGUGCGAAAGCGUGGGGAGCAAACAGG
rnacentral:rRNA from 1 species